rnacentral:rRNA from 1 species
UACGUAGGCAGCAAGCGUUGUUCGGAGUUACUGGGCGUAAAGGGUGCGUAGGUGGCUCUAUAAGUAUGGUGUGAAAUCUCCCGGCUUAACUGGGAGGGUGCGCCGUAGACUGUGGGGCUAGAGUGUGGGAGAGGAAAGUGGAAUUCCUGGUGUAGCGGUGAAAUGCGUAGAUAUCAGGAGGAACACCGGUGGUGUAAACGGCUUUCUGGACCAUAACUGACACUGAGGCACGAAGGCGUGGGUAGCAAACAGG